GAGGGAUCCUGGAGAUAUCGGAAGUGCGAAUGCUGACAUGAGUAACGAUAAUGGGAGUGAAAAACUCCCACGCCGGAAGACCAAGGUUUCCUGUCCCAUGCUAAUCAGGGUAGGGUAAGUCGGCCCCUAAGGCGAGGCAGAAAUGCGUAGUCGAUGGGAACCACGUUAAUAUUCGUGGGCCUGGUGGUAGUGACGGAUUGCGUAACUUGUUUGCUCUUAUUGGAUUGAGCAGGCGGGGAAGCGGUUCCAGGAAAUAGCUCCACCGUAUAGACCGUACCCGAAACCGA
rnacentral:rRNA from 1 species